GAUGAACGCUAGCUACAGGCUUAACACAUGCAAGUCGAGGGGCAGCAUGGUCUUAGCUUGCUAAGGCCGAUGGCGACCGGCGCACGGGUGAGUAACACGUAUCCAACCUGCCGUCUACUCUUGGACAGCCUUCUGAAAGGAAGAUUAAUACAAGAUGGCAUCAUGAGUCCGCAUGUUCACAUGAUUAAAGGUAUUCCGGUAGACGAUGGGGAUGCGUUCCAUUAGAUAGUAGGCGGGGUAACGGCCCACCUAGUCUUCGAUGGAUAGGGGUUCUGAGAGGAAGGUCCCCCACAUUGGAACUGAGACACGGUCCAAACUCCUACGGGAGGCAGCAGUGAGGAAUAUUGGUCAAUGGGCGAGAGCCUGAACCAGCCAAGUAGCGUGAAGGAUGACUGCCCUAUGGGUUGUAAACUUCUUUUAUAAAGGAAUAAAGUCGGGUAUGCAUACCCGUUUGCAUGUACUUUAUGAAUAAGGAUCGGCUAACUCCGUGCCAGCAGCCGCGGUAAUACGGAGGAUCCGAGCGUUAUCCGGAUUUAUUGGGUUUAAAGGGAGCGUAGAUGGAUGUUUAAGUCAGUUGUGAAAGUUUGCGGCUCAACCGUAAAAUUGCAGUUGAUACUGGAUAUCUUGAGUGCAGUUGAGGCAGGCGGAAUUCGUGGUGUAGCGGUGAAAUGCUUAGAUAUCACGAAGAACUCCGAUUGCGAAGGCAGCCUGCUAAGCUGCAACUGACAUUGAGGCUCGAAAGUGUGGGUAUCAAACAGGAUUAGAUACCCUGGUAGUCCACACGGUAAACGAUGAAUACUCGCUGUUUGCGAUAUACAGCAAGCGGCCAAGCGAAAGCGUUAAGUAUUCCACCUGGGGAGUACGCCGGCAACGGUGAAACUCAAAGGAAUUGACGGGGGCCCGCACAAGCGGAGGAACAUGUGGUUUAAUUCGAUGAUACGCGAGGAACCUUACCCGGGCUUAAAUUGCAGAUGAAUUACGGUGAAAGCCGUAAGCCGCAAGGCAUCUGUGAAGGUGCUGCAUGGUUGUCGUCGGCUCGUGCCGUGAGGUGUCGGCUUAAGUGCCAUAACGAGCGCAACCCUUGUUGUCAGUUACUAACAGGUUCCGCUGAGGACUCUGACAAGACUGCCAUCGUAAGAUGUGAGGAAGGUGGGGAUGACGUCAAAUCAGCACGGCCCUUACGUCCGGGGCUACACACGUGUUACAAUGGGGGGUACAGAGGGCCGCUACCACGCGAGUGGAUGCCAAUCCCAAAAACCUCUCUCAGUUCGGACUGGAGUCUGCAACCCGACUCCACGAAGCUGGAUUCGCUAGUAAUCGCGCAUCAGCCACGGCGCGGUGAAUACGUUCCCGGGCCU
rnacentral:rRNA from 1 species